rnacentral:tRNA from 1 species
GGGCAAGUGGCGGAGCUGGUAUACGCGAAACACUUAAAAUGUUUUGGCCGACAGGCCUCGAGGGUUCGAGUCCCUCCUUGCCCACCA